rnacentral:lncRNA from 1 species
AAAUCACUCAUUUUUGUUCCGGGAAGAUUUAGAAACAGAACGAAAAGCUACUCUUGCCGAGGUUUUCUCUUCUUUCUCAGCGAGUACACAUACAUUUAGUAUUUCCGACAAUGUACAUCUAUUGUUUAUAUUCUACAAUUUACAACUGGGGCUCUAAAGUUUAUUAUUUAAAUCCAAGUCUCUCAGAUUCUUAACAUUUUUCAAAGAAAUCUACAUAGUUUAAACGCAGACCGCGAAGUGGUCACGACAGAAACAGAAAUAUUCUCAUUACCGUUUGCUGAUCUUUGCUCAAUAUGGAGUUGGAGUAACAAGAGACUUUAUUUGUACAAGUAAAAAAAAAACUUUGUUUUUCAACUUGUUAUUUUUACAAUAAUUGGCUGAUUGCCGGAUAAAAGCAGGUGUUUCGUAGAUGUUUUUGUUAUUCAUAUUUUCCACUGAUCUAGUUCAGCUACAUGCUUGCAGUAAGGUAUGAUCAUCGUAAAUAAAAGCGCUCAAACAACUCUUACAUAUAGGUGGCGUAUUUAUUAAUAUUAGAAAAUGAUUUUUUAAUAUUAAAAAAUCAACCUGAAUAUUUAAUAUUAAAUAUUCAUUUUUUAAUAUUAAAAAAUAAGACCAUUUAUUGAUAUUAGA